UACAGAGGCCACAAGCGUUAGACGGAAUCACUGGGCUUAAAGCGUGUGUAGGCGGGAUGGUAAGUACUUUGUGAAAUCCCACAGCUUAACUGUGGAAAUGCUUGGUAUACUGCCGUUCUUGAGUCACCUAGGGGCAGCUGGAACAGAUGGUGGAGCGGUGAAAUGCAUAGAUAUCAUCUGGAACGCCAAUGGUGCAGACAAGCUGCUGGGGGUGUACUGACGCUGAGGCACGAAAGCCAGGGGAGCAAACGGG
rnacentral:rRNA from 1 species